rnacentral:rRNA from 1 species
UACGUAGGGGCUAGCGUUGUCCGGAUUUAUUGGGCGUAAAGAGCGUGUAGGCGGCCAGGUAGGUCUGGUGUGAAAACUCGAGGCUUAACCUCGAGAUGUCAUCGGAAACCAUCUGGCUAGAGUCCGGAAGAGGAGAGUGGAAUUCCUGGUGUAGCGGUGAAAUGCGCAGAUAUCAGGAAGAACACCAAUGGCGAAAGCAGCUCUCUGGGACGGUACUGACGCUGAGACGCGAAAGCGUGGGGAGCGAACAGG